rnacentral:lncRNA from 10 species
CGGGGAUGGAGUCACCCAGGCUGGAUCACAGUGGGGGAAUCUCGGCUUAUUGCAACCUCCGCCUCCCAGGUUCAAGCGAUUCUCCUGCCUCAGCCUCCUGAGUAGCUGGGACUACAGGCGGGUGCAACCACGACUGGAUAAUUUUUGUAUUUUUAGUGGAGACAGGUUUUCGUCGUGUUGGCCAGGCUGGUCUGAAACUCCUGAUCUCAGGUGAUCCACUCACCUCAGCCUCUCAAAGUGCUGGGAUUACAGGCUUGAGCCACCACGCCUGGCCAAAAUUUAAUUUAAGCAUAAAAAAUAAAUCUACCUAUAUUAAAUUGUACAGUUUUGAUUGCAACUUCAGCCACCUUUUUAAUUAUUUUUUACAGGUAGCAUGUGUUUUUUUUUUUUUUUUUUUUUUUUUUUUUUUUUUUUUGAGACAGAGUCUCGCUCUGUCGCCCAGGCUGGAGUGCAGUGGCGCAAUCUCGGCUCACUGCAAGCUCCGCCUCCCGGGUUCACGCCAUUCUCCCGCCUCAGCCUCCGGAGCAGCUGGGACUACAGGCGCCCGCCACUGCACCCAGCUACUAUUUUUAGUAGAGACGGGGUUUCACCAUGGUCUCGAUCUCCUGACUUCAUGAUCCACCCGCUUCGGCCUCCCAAAGUGCUGGGAUUACAGGCGUGAGCCACUGCGCCCGGCCUGCAGGAACCUAUUGGCAGCUAUGCAUCAGUAAAGUGAAGAAGCACCUCAGGAAAAGGGAGCAUAAGGGAAAAUAAGGAGACAUAAAGAAAAAUGGAAAACAUGAAAGAAAGAGAUUGAGAGUUGUAACAAUGAAAAAGGAAGAUUGCACAGUGAGGCCUGAAUAGAAUGUGUAGGAGACAGCUACCUAGAAUGGAGCAUGACAGAAAUCUUCACGGGACAUUCCUCCAAGAUCAGGAAAUUUCUCAAAUGCUUCAAGUGCCCGGAAAUAAGAAGUUGAAAACGAAAGUUUGCUGGGAGUUCCAUUGGUAAAAUGUACAUAUUGAAAACAGUUAAAAAAAUGAGACAGAGAAAAAGAGAGAGAAUCAAACACACGUAACAUGACAAUAUUUAAUGCUUUUUUAAAAGGUAGAAAAUUGAGUCACAGUAAUUACAUGCUUAUCUGUAUGUAACAUUUACCAAAUUAUAAUAAUAAGUGCAAAAUAUCUAAUCAUAUUUAUAAUAUUACUGUAUUGGAAGGAUAAAAGGACAGAUAAAUUAACUUUGUAUCUGGUGGACAGCAAAAAACAGACAUCUAUUAUCUUCCAAAGUAGCAAGUCAAUGCAUAUAUAAUGUCAAAAUUCAAAAAGUAAAAAAGUAACAAUGCAAGCUGUUAUUUUGAGAAAAUGCCAAAAUAUUCAGCCGAAAAGCUAUAAAGGUACUAUGUCAAUGAAAGGGAAAUGGGAGAUUGUCUAUUUUUUUAAAUAAAUUUUGGAGAAUAACUUUAUUUUUUAAACUCUUGAGAUAAUUCACUGCGAUAGAACUCAAACAAAAACAAAAGAUAAUAAAUUGUUGUCUGCAUGCUGUAAUUACAGCUUUCUUUUAUAAUGUUUGAGAAAGAAAAAUAAAACUUUUGAUAGGUUUCAACUUAUACCUUUUAAUAUUUUUCUUAACUUUUAAUUUUUGUGGAUAUAAAGUAGUUGUACAUGUUUAAUUGGUACAUGAGAUAUUUUGACACCGACAUGCAAAGCGUAAUAAUCACAUUACGGAAAAUGGGGUAUCCAUCCCCUCAAGCAUUUAUCCUUUGUGUAAAAAAUAAUCCAAUUUUACUCCUUCAGUUAUUUUAAAAUGUACAAUUAAAUUAUUUUCACUAUAGUCAUCUUGUUGUGCUAUUAAAUACUAAGCAUUGUUCAUUUUUUCUAUUUUUUGUACCCAUUCACUAUCCCCACCACCCCAACAACCCCCCAACUACCUUCCCCAGCCUCUGGUAACUGUAUUUCUACUCUCCACCACCUUAACAUAAUGACCUAUUCACUUAACAUAUUGCCCUCCAGUUCCAAUUAUGUUGUUGCAAAUGGCAGGAUUUCACUCUUUCAUAUGGCUGAAUACCCUAUUCUGUGAUAUUACUAUAAGGCUUGCAAAUACUAUCUUAUAGCUCAUUAUUUUAAACUAAUGACAACACUGCUUGCAUACACAAAUGAACAAACACACAGAAGUAAAACUAAUAAAAACUAUACACUUUAACUUCAUCCUCUUGUUUUUAUGACUUUUAGUUAUUUCUCCUGUCUUAUUGUACUGUGUCUUAAAAAGUUGUACUUAUAUUUUUUAUUGGUUCAUUAUUUAGUC